GUGCCAGCAGCCGCGGUAAUACGGAGGGUGCAAGCGUUAAUCGGAAUUACUGGGCGUUAAGGGAGCGCAGGCGGUGACUUAAGUCUGAUGUGAAAGCCCACGGCUCAGCCGUGGAAGGUCAUUGGAAACUGGGUCACUUGAGUGCAGAAGAGGUAAGUGGAAUUCCAUGUGUGGCGGUGAAAUGCGUAGAUAUAUGGAGGAACACCAGUGGCGAAGGCGACUGCCUGGGCUGACAUUGACGCUGAGGUGCGAAAGGGUGGGUAGCAAACAGGAUUAGAAACCCCUGUAGUCC
rnacentral:rRNA from 1 species